UCAGUACCGUGAGGGAAAGGCGAAAAGAACCCCGGGAGGGGAGUGAAAUAGAUCCUGAAACCGUGUGCGUACAAGCAGUAGGAGCUCGCAAGAGUGACUGCGUACCUUUUGUAUAAUGGGUCAGCGACUUACUGUUCGUGGCAAGCUUAACCGUAUAGGGGAGGCGAAGGGAAACCGAGUCUGAUAAGGGCGCAUAGUCGCGGGCAGUAGACCCGAAACCGGGUGAUCUAGUCAUGGCCAGGGUGAAGGUGCCGUAACAGGUACUGGAGGCCCGAACCCACGUCUGUUGCAAAAGACGGGGAUGAGCUGUGAUUAGGAGUGAAAAGCUAAUCGAACCCGGAGAUAGCUGGUUCUCCUCGAAAGCUAUUUAGGUAGCGCCUCGGACGAAUACUACUGGGGGUAGAGCACUGUUAUGGCUAGGGGGUCAUCGCGACUUACCAAACCAUUGCAAACUCCGAAUACCAGUACGUACUAUCCGGGAGACACACGGCGGGUGCUAACGUCCGUCGUGAAAAGGGAAACAACCCAGACCCACAGCUAAGGUCCCAAAUUCACUGCUAAGUGGAAAACGAUGUGGAAAGGCAUAGACAGCCAGGAGGUUGGCUUAGAAGCAGCCACCCUUUAAAGAAAGCGUAAUAGCUCACUGGUCGAGUCGGUCUGCGCGGAAGAUUUAACGGGGCUAAGCAGUGAACCGAAGCUUGGGGUGCGUAAAACUUCGGUUUUAUGCGCGGUAGAGGAGCGUUCCGUAAGCCUGCGAAGGUGGAUUGAGAAGUCUGCUGGAGGUAUCGGAAGUGCGAAUGCUGACAUGAGUAACGAUAAUGCGGGUGAAAAGCCCGCACGCCGAAAGCCCAAGGUUUCCUUGCGCAACGUUAAUCGACGCAGGGUUAGUCGGUCCCUAAGGCGAGGGCGAAAGCCGUAGUCGAUGGGAAGCAGGUUAAUAUUCCUGCACCUCGCGUGAGUGCGAUGGAGGGACGGAGAAGGUUAGGUGUACCGGGCGUUGGUUGUCCCGGGGAAAGGCGGUAGGUUUGGAUCUUUGGCAAAUCCGGGAUCCUUUAAGACCGAGCACCGAGACGAGCCUUUAUGGCGAAGUCACUGAUACCACGCUUCCAGGAAAAGCUCCUAAGCUUCAGCUCACGAAGACCGUACCGUAAACCGACACAGGUGGGUAGGAUGAGAAUACUCAGGCGCUUGAGAGAACUCGGGUGAAGGAACUAGGCAACAUGGCACCGUAACUUCGGGAGAAGGUGCACCCUUUUUGGUGGCUCAUGCGAGCUAUAGCUGAAGAGGGUCGCAGAAACCAGGCCGCUGCGACUGUUUAUCAAAAACACAGCACUCUGCAAACACGAAAGUGGACGUAUAGGGUGUGACGCCUGCCCGGUGCUGGAAGGUUAAUUGAUGGG
rnacentral:rRNA from 1 species